CCUACGGGGGGCAGCAGUGAGGAAUAUUGCGCAAUGGAGGCAACUCUGACGCAGCCAUGCCGCGUGCAGGAAGACGGCCCUACGGGUUGUAAACUGCUUUUAACCGGGAAGAAACCCCUUUACGUGUAGAGGGUUGACGGUACCGGAGGAAUAAGCACCGGCUAACUUCGUGCCAGCAGCCGCGGUAAUACGAAGGGUGCAAGCGUUAUCCGGAUUCAUUGGGUUUAAAGGGUGCGUAGGCGGGGCGAUAAGUCAGUGGUGAAAUCCUGCAGCUU
rnacentral:rRNA from 1 species